rnacentral:misc_RNA from 1 species
GAUGAAGAACGUAGCGAAAUGCGAUAAGUAAUGUGAAUUGCAGAAUUCAGUGAAUCAUCGAAUCUUUGAACGCACCUUGCGCCUUUUGGUAUUCCGAAAGGCACACCUGUUUGAGCGUCAUGAAUACCUCAAUCUCCAUCUUUUCUUCGGAUUGAUGGGUGACUUGGAUGUUGAGCCCUGCUGGUAUGCUAUAUCAGCUGGCUUUAAACUUAUUAGCCGGCUCUGUACUGGAUCGGUUUGACUCGACGUGAUAAUAUUAUCGUUGAGGAUGCAUGUCUCAUGCAGCCGGAAAGUAUCAAAGCAGCUUCUAGCUUGCCUUUAGUGCACUUUUACAUUUUAGACCUCAGAUCAGGUUGGACUACCCGCUGAACUUAAGCAUAUCAAUAAGCGGAGGA